GAUGAACGCUAGCGACAGGCUUAACACAUGCAAGUCGAGGGGCAGCAUAAAAGUAGCAAUACUUUGGUGGCGACCGGCGCACGGGUGAGUAACGCGUAUGCAACCUACCUAUCAGAGGGGGAUAACCCGGCGAAAGUCGGACUAAUACCGCAUAAAAACAGGGGCACCGCAUGGUGAUAUUUGUUAAAAAAUUUAUUGCUGAUAGAUGGGCAUGCGUUCCAUUAGGUAGUUGGAGAGGUAACGGCUCACCAAGCCAACGAUGGAUAGGGGAACUGAGAGGUUGGUCCCCCACACUGGUACUGAGACACGGACCAGACUCCUACGGGAGGCAGCAGUGAGGAAUAUUGGUCAAUGGGCGAGAGCCUGAACCAGCCAAGUCGCGUGAAGGAAGAAGGAUCUAUGGUUCGUAAACUUCUUUUGCAGGGGAAUAAAGUGCAGGACGUGUCCUGUUUUGUAUGUACCCUGAGAAUAAGGAUCGGCUAACUCCGUGCCAGCAGCCGUAC
rnacentral:rRNA from 1 species